rnacentral:rRNA from 1 species
GACGAACGCUGGCGGCGUGCUUAACACAUGCAAGUCGAACGGAAAGGCCCUGCUUUUGUGGGGUGCUCGAGUGGCGAACGGGUGAGUAACACGUGAGUAACCUGCCCUUGACUUUGGGAUAACUUCAGGAAACUGGGGCUAAUACCGGAUAGGAGCUCCUGCUGCAUGGUGGGGGUUGGAAAGUUUCGGCGGUUGGGGAUGGACUCGCGGCUUAUCAGGUUGUUGGUGGGGUAGGGGCUUACCAAGGCUUUGACGGGUAGCCGGCCUGGGAGGGUGACCGGCCACAUUGGGACUGAGAUACGGCCCAGACUCCUACGGGAGACAGCAGUGGGGAAUAUUGCACAAUGGGCGGAAGCCUGAUGCAGCAACGCCGCGUGCGGGAUGACGGCCUUCGGGUUGUAAACCGCUUUCGCCUGUGACGAAGCGUGAGUGACGGUAAUGGGUAAAGAAGCACCGGCUAACUACGUG